UAAAAAGAUGGGCGGGUCCUCAAUUUUCCCAUCCUUUCCCCCCUCCGGCCACAGCGCUCAAUCCUGCCGCCGUCCAAACCGUCCAUCCUAACUGCCUCAACCCAUCGCUGAAUCAAGCGAAAUGAGGCUGGAGAGGAGGUUGCUGUCCACCGUCGCCUCACCGCAGGCCGAAUCUCGCCGUCACCGCGCUGAGAAGAUGGAGAGUCAUCGCCGUCCCGAAGCCCCCGAACCGUAGCAGCAGAGUGGCGCCGGGCUUCGAUCCGGCUCCAGAUCACAAGGUUGGGCCACUUUGUCGGUGAAGUCUCUUCUGCCUCAAGCUCCGACAGUCUGCAGAUGCCACAGAAGUUGCCGUCUGCCGCUGCACCUCAACCUCCUUCCUCUUGUACGCUCUGUGUGUUUGUGUGUGUGUCUGUUGCUGCCGUUCUGCUCCAUACCAGAUCUAGCCAAUUUGGGAGAAGAUUAGAAAUAGGCAGCAGUCGCACCACUGCCGGAUCUAGACCUGACAUUAGAAUCGGAAGCGAUGUGCGGUGGCAAAGCACAAGGGGCAUCGAAGGAUCUUCCUGGCCGUCCAAGAUUCAGUCCUUCUUCCUCAUCGGCAUUCUGAGAGGUCACUGAGUAUUCAGAACAAGCUGUGGUGAAGUCCUUUGGCUUCGGAAGAAACUAUGAUGGCAGAAGCUCUUAACUGUACAAGCUACACAUGCAAGAGCCUUGAGAUGCAGAUACCAAAAACCUAGAGAAGCUGGCUGAUUGCAAACUUAUGGUUAUCAGAUUGUAAAGUGAGUUGACUGGAGCACCAAAAAAAUCAUGUAUGUUUAUCAUUUCUUAUGGAGAAAAGAUGAAACUGCAAGUCUGCUUUUCAAUUCAAUUGUAAAAUGAGAUGAAGUCAUGUGUAAUAUGUAGUAUAUUUGAUAUUUAUGCUGAUUUGUGAUGGGCUGAGAA